rnacentral:rRNA from 1 species
AUCCUGGCUCAGGAUGAACGCUGGCGGCGUGCUUAACACAUGCAAGUCGAACGGAGUUAUGAUGUGCGAGGAAAGAAGCUUGCUUUGGACUAAACUUUUCAUAACUUAGUGGCGGACGGGUGAGUAACGCGUGGGUAACCUGCCCUGUACAGGGGGAUAACAGUUGGAAACGACUGCUAACACCGCAUAACAUUAAGGGAGCGCAUGAUCCCUUGAUCAAACAUUUAUGGGUACAGGAUGGGCCCGCGUCUGAUUAGCCAGUUGGUGAGGUAACGGCUCACCAAAGCGACGAUCAGUAGCCGUACUGAGAGGUAGAACGGCCACAUUGGGACUGAGACACGGCCCAAACUCCUACGGGAGGCAGCAGUGGGGAAUAUUGGUCAAUGGGGGCAACCCUGAACCAGCGACGCCGCGUGAGUGAAGAAGUAUUUCGGUAUGUAAAGCUCUAUCAGCAGGGACGAUGAUGACGGUACCUGACUAAGAAGCCCGGCUAACUACGUGCC